rnacentral:rRNA from 1 species
GUGGGGAAUAUUGCGCAAUGGGGGAAACCCUGACGCAGCGACGCCGCGUGAGCGAAGAAGGCCUUAGGGUUGUAAAGCUCUGUUUUAAGGGACGAAUGUCGUGGGGAGUAAUAUGCUCUGCGAAUGACGGUACCUUAAGAGGAAGCCCCGGCUAACUACGUGCCAGCAGCCGCGGUAAGACGUAGGGGGCGAGCGUUGUCCGGAAUUACUGGGCGUAAAGAGCACGUAGGCGGGAACUUAAGUCAGGUGUGAAAGACCGGGGCUCAACUCCGGGGUUGCACUUGAAACUGGGUUUCUUGAGGGCAGGAGAGGAAAGCAGAAUUCCUGGUGUAGCGGUGAAAUGCGUAGAAAUCAGGAGGAAUACCAGUGGCGAAGGCGGCUUUCUGGACUGACCCUGACGCUGAGGUGCGAAAGCGUGGGUAGCAAACAGGAUUAGAUACCCUUGUAGUCC